GCCAUUAAGUCUGUUUUGAGUCUGCUCUGUGGCUACACAAAAGUAUGAAUGUUUUUAAAACUUACAUUUGAGCUUAAAUAUCCUUUUUUUUGUUGGUUGGUUAGUUAGACCUUAGUUUCUUCUUUGGAUUUAGAGAGAAGGUGAAAAUAUUUACAUUUUAGAAAGUGGCUCAUACACAACAAACCAUGUGAUCAUUAAAUCAGAUGUAGAAAGAUUUUUUUUUCAGUUAAAGAAAUCACAUUAAUAUAUAAUAACAACAGAAUAAAUGAUGGAUAUUAGACUCAGACGAUUAAAAAAAUUGGAUGAACUUAUAGCUCAUAAAAAUGUAACUCUUAGAUACGGAGAGAUGAAAUCAAGGUUAAAGAACCUGUAGAGGGUGGUGUUGCUCUACACUGAGUCCAAAGUGGAUUCCAAACAACAGGAAGAGACAGGAUGACACAUCAACCUUCUUAAAGUUAUGUUUUAUAGUCACGUGACUUGUUUUCUGCAUGACUGUCUGUAACCUUGUGCAGGAAAGCCCAGAGUUUCAGAGACAUGACACCAUGUUUGUGUGCAUGUGUACAAGAAAAAAAUGGGAAGGGUAUCGGCUUUCUAAAGCUAAAGUGAGAUGCAGCUAUGAGAGUGUCAGUGAAGUGGCAAGAUGAGGAAGGUUGACAAGGCUACUAGAGCAGAGAGUGACGUUUUUAAAAAAAAAAAAAAAAAAAAAAGCAAAAUUUGUAUUCUGCUGCUUUGUAGCCAGAGGUUUUUGCCACACAAGGCUCCAAACAAAUGAACCGACAGUCUAAACCUGUGUUACAUGAGACCUCUUGGAUGAUGUGGCCAAAAGCUUGGCAGCAGAAUUUGGACAAAGCAUUGCCAAGGCAGAGGACAGGGUAUUGCAAAUUUGGAGUAAAACUUGUCUAAAACAGGCCUCUAUUGUAAAUGAGACAUUGAGUCUCAAUGGAAUUGCCUGUAUAAGAAUAGGUUAAACAAUACAAUAAAAACAAAGUUAUCUCACCUGAGUGUGAAUAUAGCAAUAUCCCUUUCCUGGCAAUCUUAAAGACAUAAAGACCUGGAUGGCCGCUAACUUUCUGCUUCUUAAUUCAGAUAAGACUGAGGUUAUUGUACUCGGCCCUGAAAAUCUUAGAAAUAUGGUAUCUAACCAGAUUCUUACUCUGGAUGGCGUUACCUUGGCCUCC
ensembl:lncRNA